ACCAUAGAGUACACGCUGCUCGUAGACAGCGCGGGCGGGUAAAGAGCGGCAGUGGCGCGGUGCAUGAUGGGAUAGCUGUGACCUCCGAGCUUCCUGACUGUUAUAACAGAGCCCCUGGUGUUGCUGAAGUAGAAGGACGCUCUUGCGGACUGGAUUCAGGAGCUGUACUUGCGAACUGGUGAACUUGAAUCCGGAAUGAAAGCAGAAGCAACGGGAGACAGGUUAAAAGCAGGCUUGUUUUAAUGCGUGAACCAAUUGUACUUUGUAUUGACACCUUGCUAGAAGGCAGACCAGAGAAGAAAAACGCAGCAGCCAGCGAGAGCAGGAGAUACUCCCUGAAGAAGCACACUAUGUGCGAAACGGCGUAGGGGUAACUCGUUGUCCACAGGUACGGUUCUGGUCUGAAGCAUUUCCCAUCUAUCCUCUUCAUCUACACUAUAUUAAUGCAUGUUACAAAACAAAGUUACAAGACGAUUGACAGUAACUGCAGAACACCCCGGCUUCAGACUGAAAGGAUCACAAAGCUUCAGGCAUUUCAUCUUUAAGACGUCCAACGGGGCAAGUCGGGACACAUUAAGUAUCAGUCAGAUCUUGGUUUAUUUCAGGAAUGUGACUUGGAGCAUUCAUUAAUGUUUUGUUCUUCAGACCAUAAUGGAGAGUAUACAGGCAGUGGGGCAGCAGGAUGUGCUCAGCUAUCCUUUUAAUUGUUUGUGACUACAUAUAUGCUCAUAGAGCAAGCAAAGCACGUUUGUCAAAACCACCAACCAAAUUUAUUGUUAUUAUUUAAGCGCUUUUCCAGUGAUCCAUAUGCACAGGUAAUUUCAAUACAGGGCAUAGGGAAACUUGAAUUGCUGCAGCCCUUUACUUUCUCCCUGCCGAUGUUAGGUGCAGGAGAUAAAGAGUAUUAUGAUAACCUAAAGAGGAUUGUCCCGGCAGGGAGAAUUUUUGCACAUGCUGCUGGCACUCAAGGGAAAAUAAACAGUUAUACUUACCUGGUUUCCUGAGCACCCGCUCUCUGCCAUAAUCCCCUUAAUUCUUUACUAGUUCUCCCAACAUUCUA